UCGCCGAUUCUUUCACUUUGG
rnacentral:piRNA from 1 species